UCUUUUUUUUUUCUUUCUUUUCUUUUAGUGUUAUUCUUUUUUCUUGUUCUUUCUUUUGACGAUAUUUUUCCUUUUCUUUCUUUCAUUUUAUUUUCUAUUGGUGUUUUUCUCUUUCUUUUCUUUCUCUUCUUUUUCUUUUCCUUUUGUUUCUUUUCCUGUCAUCCUUGUGUUGAUGUUCGUUGGUCUGGGUGAGCCGCUUUCCUCCCAGAAGAGACCCACCCAUAAUUUUGGUGAUGUUGCUGAGGGCCGAAAGGUGGAUGAUGUUUUUCUUUCCUUGAUGUUUUGUUUUCAUUUUCGAUGUUAUUCUGUUCACUUUCUUGCUCCUGUUGUUUUCUAUAUCAUCCUUUUGUUGAUGUUCGUUGGUCUGGGUGAGCCGCUUUCCUCCCAGAAGAGACCCACCCAUAAUCUUGUGAUGUUACUUGUGGCCGAAAGGUGGAUGAUGUUUUUUUCUUCUUUUCUUGAUGUUGGUCUUUUAUCUUUUCUGUGUCAUCCGUUCUGAUGUUCUUUGGUCUGGCUGAGCCUUUUUCUCCCCAGAAAAGACCCACCCAUAAUUUUGUGAUGUUACUUGGGUCCGAAAGGUGGAUGAUGUUUUUUUCUUCUUUUCUUGAUGUUGGUCUUUUAUCUUUUCUGUGUCAUCCCUGUUUGAUGUUCUGUGGUCUGGAUGAGCCUUUUUCUCCCCAGAAAAGACCCACCCAUAAUUUUGGUGAUGUUAGUUAGGGCCGAAAGGUGGAUGAUCUGUUUCAUAUUUAGUUUUCUUGAUGUUUCGUUUCUACAUUUUCUUCAUUCUGGUGUUCUUUUUCAUUUUCAUUUUCAUUUUGGUGUUCCCAUCACGUGGAUGUCUACGACAUCUGACGAGCUCCACCUGCCCGGGUUUGUUGUUCGGAGUUUGCUCUCCUAGGUGAACUGCCUACCACGGCUAACGAGCUCCACCUGCCCGGGUUUAUUGUUCGGAGUUUGCUCUCCUAGGUGAACUGCCUACCAUGGCUAACGAGCUCCACCUGCCCGGGUUUGUUGUUCGGAGUUUGCUCUCCUAGGUGAACUGCCUACCAUGGCUAACGAGCUCCACCUGCCCGGGUUUGUUGUUCGGAGUUUGCUCUCCUAGGCAGACUGCCUACCACGGCUAACGAGCUCCACCUGCCCGGGUUUAUUGUUCGGAGUUUGCUCUCCUAGGCAGACUGCCUACCACGGCUAACGAGCUCCACCUGCCCGGGUUUAUUGUUUGGAGUUUGCUCUCCUAGGUGAACUGCCUACCACGGCUAACGAGCUCCACCUGCCCGGGUUUGUUGUUCGGAGUUUGCUCUCCUAGGUGAAUUGCCUACCACGGCUAACGAGCUCCACCUGCCCGGGUUUAUUGUUCGGAGUUUGCUCUCCUAGGUGAAUUGCCUACCA